AGAGUUUGAUCAUGGCUCAGAAUGAACGCUGGCGGCGUGCUUAACACAUGCAAGUCGAGCGAGGCCUGGGGGGCAACUCCCAGAGUCGAGCGGCGGACGGGUGAGUAACACGUGGGUAACCUGCCCGGAAGUGGGGAAUACCUCGGGGAAACUCGAGCUAAUACCGCAUGACAUCUUUGGGACGAAAGUCCUGACGAUCAAAGCGGGGUCGCAAGAUCUCGCGCUACCGGAUGGGCCCGCGCCCGAUUAGCUAGUUGGUGAGGUAACGGCUCACCAAGGCUUCGAUCGGUAACCGGCCUGAGAGGGCGAUCGGUCACACCGGAACUGAGACACGGUCCGGACUCCUACGGGAGGCAGCAGUGGGGAAUCUUGCGCAAUGGGCGAAAGCCUGACGCAGCAACGCCGCGUGGAGGAUGAAGGCCCUUGGGUUGUAAACUCCUGUCGGCUGGGAAGAAAUCGUUCGAGGUUAAUACCCCCGGACGUUGACUGUACCAGCAAAGGAAGCCCCGGCUAACUCUGUGCCAGCAGCCGCGGUAAUACAGAGGGGGCUAGCGUUAUUCGGAAUUAUUGGGCGUAAAGGGCGCGUAGGCGGCCAUGCGUGUCUUCCGUGAAAUCCCUCGGCUUAACUGAGGACGUGCGGAAGAAACUGCAAGGCUCGAGUCCGGGAGAGGGGGGUGGAAUUCCCAGUGUAGCGGUGAAAUGCGUAGAUAUUGGGAGGAACACCGGUGGCGAAGGCGGCCCCCUGGACCGGUACUGACGCUGAGGCGCGAAAGCGUGGGUAGCAAACGGGAUUAGAUACCCCGGUAGUCCACGCCGUAAACGAUGGGCACUUGGUGUCGCGGGUAUCGACCCCUGCGGUGCCGAAGCUAACGCAUUAAGUGCCCCGCCUGGGGGAGUACGGUCGCAAGGCUGAAACUCAAGGAAUUGACGG
rnacentral:rRNA from 1 species